GAGCAGGCUUGCCCAAGCUUGGACCUUUGGCUGUUUUUGGACAAUUCCCAUGAUCCCGGACCACUGGUCCUGCUAACUAGGGAUGACAUGAGUUGUAGUCCAAAAACAGCUGGAGACCCAAGUUUGGGAAAGCCUGCCUAGAGGUAGGGAGCCCUGGAGAGGUGGUGUCUGAAAAUUGGAUACGUUCAUUCAGAGAGCAUAGAAUCACCACAAUCCUAAUCCCAUGGCAUCUUGUUUUUUUAAGUGAUUCAAUGAGUUAUGACUAGCCCUCUGCACUGACUGGAAAUGAGAGAGGAGGCAAGACUAGCAAGAAAGAAUUGCAGCAUCUAAAGGGUUACUAGGAAUGUGUCAGGAUCUACAGUAAUCUGGGUGCAGCUGCCCCAGGUGAUAAAACUACUGAGCUCACAUUUCUGUGUUUACUUUCUAGGAUUGGAAAGUAUGAGUCAGUCUUAUCUCUCUUCCACUGUAUUGUACUUUUAUACUUUUCUUUCUCUCCCUCUCUUGGAGAAGAAGUGAGAGAACGCCAUGAUUGCUUUGUCCUGUAUACAGUCAUACCUCAUGUUAAGUUUGCUUCAAGUUAUGUUCUUUCAGGUUACGUCCCGCAGCGACCCGGAAGUACCGGAAAGGUUUACUUCUGGGUUUCACCGCUCGCGCAUGCGCAGAAGCGCCAAAUCGCACCACACACCUGCACAGACACAGCGCUUAAGGUUGCGCUCUUUUCAUGCUGCUAACGGGACUCCGGAACGGAUCCGGUUCACAGCUAGAGGUACCACUGUAUAUUGCUUAAUAAAUCACUUAGAAUGCUACACACAUGCUCCACAAUCGUUUCUGCUAUACUCUGCUGGUUGAGGGUGCACGUCUUUUGAUAUGUGUCGCUGGUGUGCACCAAGACUGAUUUGUGAAUGUCCCAGUGCUGUGCUUCAUCAGGAAGACGCCCAGAGAGGUCUGUUUCAUUCCGGGGGCUGAAUGUGCCCCCCAGGCAUGUUCCGACAUCCUAUUUCAGUUUAGCAUUACUUGAGCAACAAAGGACUUUAUCCCUCAAGCUCUGACAUGCUCCUACCUGGGAGCAAACCUUAUUAAAUUGGGGGGGGGGGCUUACUUCUGAGUAGGCAUGUGCAGAAUCUCCACAAAAGUGCACCUUUCCGGAAAGGGCUUAUUAAGAAUAUGGUGCUGGGGAAAGUGCUGUUUAUAGGGUGCCGCAGGGAUCCAUCUCCAUUCCC